CGUGUUGUGGAGAACGACAAUAGCGCAACUUGCUAGGUCUGUCUACACAGCAA
rnacentral:pre_miRNA from 1 species